UAACGCGUAUACAAUCUGCCUUAUACUGGGGGAUAGCCUUUGGAAACGAAGAUUAAUACCCCAUAGUAAGUGAAGAUGGCAUCAUCAUCACUUUAAAGAUUACGGUAUAAGAUGAGUAUGCGUCCUAUUAGUUUGUUGGUAAGGUAACGGCUUACCAAGACUACGAUAGGUAGGGGCCCUGANAGGGGGAUCCCCCACACUGGUACUGANACACGGACCAGACUCCUACGGGAGGCAGCAGUGAGGAAUAUUGGACAAUGGGCGAGAGCCUGAUCCAGCCAUGCCGCGUGCAGGAAGACGGCCCUAUGGGUUGUAAACUGCUUUUAUACAGGAAGAAACACUCCCUCGUGAGGGAGCUUGACGGUACUGUAAGAAUAAGGACCGGCUAACUCCGUGCCAGCAGCCGCGGUAAUACGGAGGGUCCGAGCGUUAUCCGGAAUCAUUGGGUUUAAAGGGUCCGUAGGCGGGCAGCUCAGUCAGUGGUGAAAGUCUGUGGCUCAACCAUAGAAUUGCCAUUGAUACUGGUUGUCUUGAAUUAUUGUGAAGUGGUUAGAAUAAGUAGUGUAGCGGUGAAAUGCAUAGAUAUUACUUANAAUACCAAUUGCGAAGGCAGAUCACUAACAAUAUAUUGACGCUGAUGGACGAAAGCGUGGGG
rnacentral:rRNA from 1 species